UACGUAGAGGGCUAGCGUUGUCCGGAUUUAUUGGGCGUAAAGAGCGUGUAGGCGGCCAUGUAGGUCCGGUGUGAAAACUCGAGGCUCAACCUCGAGAUGUCGGCGGAAACCAUUUGGCUAGAGUCCGGAAGAGGAAAGUGGAAUUCCUGGUGUAGCGGUGAAAUGCGCAGAUAUCAGGAAGAACACCCGUGGCGAAGGCGGCUUUCUGGGACGGUACUGACGCUGAGACGCGAAAGCGUGGGGAGCGAACAGG
rnacentral:rRNA from 1 species